rnacentral:rRNA from 1 species
CAACUUUCAACAACGGAUCUCUUGGUUCUGGCAUCGAUGAAGAACGCAGCGGAAUGCUAUACAGUACUGUGGAUUGCAUAAGUCUUUGAAUAAUCGAAGAUUUGAACGCAUCUUGCGCCCUUUUGUAUUUCCAAGGUCGGUGCGUUCCUACCGAUUUCA